rnacentral:rRNA from 1 species
AUGAACGCUGGCGGCGUGCUUAACACAUGCAAGUCGAACGGAGUUUUUAAACGGAAGUUUUCGGAUGGAAGUUUAAGAACUUAGUGGCGGACGGGUGAGUAACGCGUGGGGUAACCUGCCUCAUACAGGGGGAUAACAGUUAGAAAUGACUGCUAACACCGCAUAAUAUAGUGAAACCGCAUGAUUUUUGCUAUCAAAUAUUUAUAGGUAUGAGAUGGGCCCGCGUCUGAUUAGCUAGUUGGUGGGGUAAAAGCCUACCAAGGCGACGAUCAGUAGCCGGCUUGAGAGAGUGACCGGCCACAUUGGGACUGAGACACGGCCCAAACUCCUACGGGAGGCAGCAGUGGGGAAUAUUGGACAAUGGGGGAAACCCUGAUCCAGCCGACGCCGCGUGAGUGAAGAAGUAUUUCGGUAUGUAAAGCUCUAUCAGCAGGGAAGAUAAUGACAGUACCUGACUAAGAAGCCCCGGCUAACUACGUGCCAGCCGCCGC